rnacentral:sRNA from 1 species
AAGUUGGAGGCGCCUAGUGAGGGUCAGGGAGGCCCGGCCCGCGCCCUCUCCGCCCAGCCGCCUCCCCGUCGACCACCCAGGGCUGGGGCGAGCCAGGCUGCCUUUCGAACUUGGGGGCUUCUCCUCUUGUCUCCCACUGGUGCUCUGGCUGUGAAUCCAUCCAGGCGCCAGGAGAUGACAAUCCGAUACCAAGGCCGGCAGUACAGGCUGAGGAUGGCAUUUCUCCAAAAGGUUUCCAAGCUGCGUCCUGGGCCUGGAGACUGAGACAGAGAUCCACGGACUGCAGUGCAGGCAGCCCACCCCAGCUCCGAGUCAUAUAAGGUUGAAAUAUCAGUAAAAAACAUGCAGAACCAAAGAUGGGGACCAAAAUCCAAAGCCAGAGGGUCCUGGAAAUCAGAGGGUCUUACAACAUAACAGGCAGUACAGGCCAUGGCUCAGGCUAGGCGUGGAACAGACUGCAGUUCUCUUCUACAAAUCAAUCUAGACUGGACAGAUAGAACUCCAAGGGAGGAAAGAAAAAUGAAUCUGAUGUUACUUCUUGAAACCACAUUUUCUGAAGUCACCAUUUUUAUGUAUCUAUCAACUCAUCAUUUUUAUGUAUAUAUCAAUAUGAUUUUAUGAUCUUAUUUUUUCCUACUAAUGUGAUGAAUUACCUUGAUUGAUUUUAGAAUAUUAAAUCACUUUUGUAUUCCUGGAAUAAACCCUAGAUGGAUGCUUGAUUUUUUCUAAUUCCUUAGCAAAAAUGCUAAUAUUUUAUUUAGGAUUUUGCAUCUAUAUUCACAAGUGAGGAUUUUUUCCCUCUCCUGACACCAACCAAUUCUCCAACACAAACUGAGUGUCCUACAAUUCAAUUCAAUUCUGACACUACCCACAGUUAGCAUUAGCCUCCACAGAUUUAAGGCCUCAGCCCUACAAGACUGUCCCAAUCAGACUCCAGUUGCAAGUCCUGGGCCACCCAUACUUCUGGGCAACUGGUUACAAAUUGGGGGUUCUUAUGACCACCUCCCGCAGGCUUGACAAUUUGCGAGAAUGAUUAGUGGAAAGCAAGAAAGUGCUUAACUUAAUAUUACUGGUUUAUUACAAAGGAUACAAUUCAGGAAGAGCCAAAUGGAAGUGAUGCAUGGAGCAAGGCAAGGGAGAAUGAGCACAGAGCUUUCCUACCCUCUCCAGGCACACCACUCUCCGAGCACCUUGAUGUGUUCACCAACCUGGAAGCUCUCUGAACCCCAUCAUUUACAGGUUUUAAUGGAAGUUUCAUUACAUAGGCAUGACUUUUUUUUUUUUUUGAGACGGAGUCUUACUCUGUCGCCCAGGCUGGAGUGCAGUGGCACCAUCUCGGCUCACUGCAACCUCCACCCCCCGGGUUCAAGCAAUUCUCCUGCCUCAGCCUCCCAAGUAGUUGGGACUACAGGUGGACACCACCAUGCCCAGCUAAUUUUUGUAUCUUUAGUAGAGAUGGGGUUUCACCAUGUUGGCCAGGCUGGUCUUGAACUCCUGACCUCAGGUGAUCCGCCUGCCUUGGCUUCCCAAAGUGCUGGGAUUAUAGGCAUGAGCCCUACAUAGCAAUGACUGAUUGAAUCUUUGAACACUGGUGAUUACUUCAAUCUCCAGCCCCUUGUCCCUCUCCCCUCCCCAGAAGUCAGUGGGUGGGGCUAAAAGUUCCAACCCUCUAAUCAUGCCUAGUUCUCCUUUUUUUUUUUUUUUAAUUGUUUAUUUUUCUUGGCAUGCAGAAUAAGAGCUAUUGUCUAGGUCUUUCUGGUGACCUCUUCAUCCUGAACUACCUAGAAGCCUCCAGCCACUAGUCAUUUCAUUAGUAUACAAGAGACACUCUUGCCAUUGUGGAGAUUUCAGGAGUUUCGGGAGCCAUGUGCCAGGAACCAGGGACAAAACCCAAAUAUUUAUUUUUUCUCAUACCACAAUGAUUGACAUUGGUCUGUAAUUUUUUCUGCUUGUAAUAUCCUAGUCCAGUUUUUCUAUUAAGGUUAUGGCCACAUAAAAAGAGUUGGGAACUAUACUCUGUUUUGCUAUUCUUUGGUAGAGUUUGUCCAAGUUUAUGCAAGAUUGGUAUUAUUCUUUUUUUUUUAGAGACAGGUUCUCACUCUGUCACCCAGACUGGAGUGGCAGUGAUGCCAUCACAGCUCAUUCACUAUAACCUUGAACUCCUGGGCUCAAGCAAUCCUCCCACCUAAGCCUCCUAAGUACCUGGGACUACAGGUGCAAGCUGCCAUGCCCUGCUAAUUUUUAAAUUUUUGGUAGAGGCGGUGCCUUACUGUAUUGUCCAGGCUGGUCUUGAACUCCUAGACUCAAGUGAUUCUCCUACCUCAGCCUCCCAAAGUGCUGGGUGUAUAGGUGUGAGCCACCACACACAGCCCAUGGUAUUAUUCUUUAAAUAUUUGGAAGAAUUAACUGAUGAGGCAAGCCAUCUGGGGCUUGGAAUUCUUUGUGAGAAGUUCUUGAAUAGAUUCCAUUUAUUUAUUAGAUAUUGGCUAUUCAGAUUUUACUUUUUUAUGUGGGCUUUGGAAAGUUGUAUUUUUCAGGGAGUUUGUCUAUUUUAUCCAAGUUGUCAAUAUUUUGGUGUAAAGACAAUAAUAUUCUCUUAUCUUUGUUAUAUUUGUGGGAUCUGUACUGAUAUUCCUUUCUAAUAUUGAAAAUUUGUCUUUUUUGUUUCUGUUGAUCAGUAUUGUUUGGAGUCUAUCAAUAUAAAUAAUAUUUUCAAAUAACC